rnacentral:rRNA from 1 species
GUCGGGCGGCAGCGGGUCCUUCGGGAUGCCGGCGAGCGGCGAACGGGUGAGUAAUGUAUCGGAACGUACCCAUUAGUGGGGGAUAACUACGCGAAAGCGUGGCUAAUACCGCGUACGCCCCUUUGGCGACAUUGGGGGAAAGCAGGGGACCUUUCGGGGCCUUGCGCUAUUGGAGCGGCCGAUAUCGGAUUAGUUUGUUGGUGGGGUAAUGGCCUACCAAGGCGAUGAUCCGUAGCUGGUUUGAGAGGACGACCAGCCACACUGGGACUGAGACACGGCCCAGACUCCUACGGGAGGCAGCAGUGGGGAAUUUUGGACAAUGGGGGCAACCCUGAUCCAGCCAUUUCGCGUGUGCGAUGAAGGCCUUCGGGUUGUAAAGCACUUUUGGCGGGGAAGAAACGGCGGUCUCUAACAUAGACUGUUACUGACGGUACCCGCAGAAUAAGCACCGGCUAACUACGUGCCAGCAGCCGCGGUAAUACGUAGGGUGCGAGCGUUAAUCGGAAUUACUGGGCGUAAAGGGUGCGCAGGCGGUUUGUCAAGAAAGGUGUGAAAUCCCCGUGCUCAACAUGGGAACUGCACUUUUAACUGACAGGCUAGAGUGUGUCAGAGGGGGGUAGAAUUCCACGUGUAGCAGUGAAAUGCGUAGAGAUGUGGAGGAAUACCGAUGGCGAAGGCAGCCCCCUGGGAUAACACUGACGCUCAUGCACGAAAGCGUGGGAGCAAACAGGAUUAGAUACCCUGGUAGUCCACGCCCUAAACGAUGUCAACUAGCUGUUGGGGCUUUCGGGCCUUGGUAGCGCAGCUAACGCGCGAAGUUGACCGCCU